GACGAACGCUGGCGGCGUGCUUAAUACAUGCAAGUCGAGCGAACAGACGAGAAGGUUGCUUCUCUGGUGUUGGCGGCGGGCGGAUGAGGUACAUGUAAUUAACAGACCUAUGAGACUGGGAUAAAUUCGUGGAACCGAAGCUAAUAACGGACGAUCUUUUGAACCGCAUGGUUAAAAAGUGUAAGACGGGCUUGCUGACAAUUAUAGAUGAAUCCGAGCUGCAUUGGCUAGUUGGUAAGGUCACGGACUACCAAGGCAACGAUGCCUAGCCAACCUGGGAAGGGGUUGCGCCACACCGGAACUGAGACACGGUCCAGACUCCUACGGGAGGCAGCAGUAGGGAAUCUUGCGCGAUGGGCGAAAGCCUGACGGAGCAACGCCGGGUGAGUGAUGCAGGUCUUCGGAUCGUAAAACGCUGUUAUUAGGGAAGAACACAUGUGUAAGUAACUGUGCACAUCUUGACGGUACCUAAUCAGAAAGCCACGGCUAACUACGUG
rnacentral:rRNA from 1 species